rnacentral:rRNA from 1 species
UACGGGGGGGAGCAAGCGUUGUUCGGAUUUACUGGGCGUAAAGGGCGCGUAGGCGGCCACCGCAAGUCAGUUGUGAAAAGCUCUGGGCUUAACCCAGAAAAGGUCAGCUGAUACUGCGGGGCUAGAGUGCAGAAGGGGGCAACUGGAAUUCUCGGUGUAGCGGUGAAAUGCGUAGAUAUCAGGAGGAACACCGGUGGCGAAGGCGGGGUCUCUGGGGCCCGAUACUGACGCUGAGGAGCGAAAAGCGUGGGGGAGCGAACAGG